rnacentral:lncRNA from 1 species
AUGGGCAGGGGAAAGGUGGGAGAAAGAGGGAACCAUUUUCCUCCGUUCCCUACCGUCUUUCUCUGUCUUCUGGGAUGGCCUUCCAUCACACAUGGUUUCCAGUUAUUUUUGUUUCUUUUUUGUUUCCUCUUUAUUUUCUUCAGUGAGGAGUCCAGUAACACCCAACUCCUCCAAACUCAUUCUGGGGGACCCCAUUUCAGCAUUGUGCAGAAACGAGGAGAAGACACAGAGAAGACUGCGUUUGAUAAGCUCUUAAGCUGAGGACAAAAAGACACAGAGGGAGAGCAGAGAGAACUCGGGAUAUUUCAAAAGCAGCAGAAAGGUAGGAUAACAGAAGACUAAUGGGGACUGUUCCUGUCAAAUGUGGACUGUUGGAAGGUACACUAUAUGUUUUCCUAUCUUAACAUACCAAGGCUUUCCUCUUUCAAGGUCGGGUCCUCCUACCUUGCUGGCUGAGGAAAAGGAUAAGAUGUCUCUCUUCCACUGUGUGAACAGCUAUUGACUUCAUGUUGCUGAUUGGACAGGAUCCAUUGCACUGGAGAACUGCAAAUGAAGUACAAGGCAACAGGGUUGCUGCUAAAAUGCCACAUGACACUGCUGACUAUCUCCUCCAAUAUGGAAUAAAGUUGGGAGGCUAUCUCCCAGAAAGUGCCACCUCACCCUUGACAAGUCAGACACUCUCAGCUUUGGAAAUGCCCUGAGCAGGAAAUGGCUUGAAGACAGUCAGACAACAAACAUCUGGGUGUCUGACAAUCCAACAUGCAGAGUAUCAGAUGGCCCACCACCACAGCCAGCAUCUAAGAGACAUGAAGAACACUUGCAAUUUUUCUCAACAUAUUAAGACAACCCAAUAGAAAAAUGAUCAACCAUAGUGAAAUCUUUAUCACUAAAUUGGUUUUGCAAAUAGAGUAGUUUCUUUCCAGUUUCCUUCAUCUCAUUUUCCUUGGCAUAACAGAACCUGAGAUGUAAGCUCCCAUGCUGCUG